AGUGAGGAAGAUUACCCAUUUACCAGGCUGCUAGACCAGGGAAGCCACUGGAGGCAGGGAACGCUGACAAAGCCACUGCACCGGGAGCACCAGCGUUCUAAAUACCCCAGCUGACUGCUGAGAAGGGCUUCGCAGAGGGGCCACCCGGGAAGGAGAUGAUUCCAGUAGUCCGGAAUGGACCUCUUCUCCUACCAGCAUUGCACCGCUAACAAGAUCCUAACCUAUUCCAUCUUAUUUCACAAAACAUACUUGAAGAAGGCGAGGGGGAAGAUUGAGAAUCUACCAUCUAGGAAAACAGAGAUGGGAAUGCAGCUUGGACUGGAAAAGGAAGCUUUCUAAAGCCUGCUUCUGUAAGGACACAGGUUCUCUGGACCCAGAGUCACAUACUGGGAAGGAAGAGAAGCCUUUGGGUAAACAUCAUGAAUUUCCCUGGAGCAACUACUCUAUUUAAGAUUUUAUCUAACAUUUUUUGGAAAGAAGGGAAUAGGUUUAAAAAAAUAAUUUCAAAAGUGUAACAUCUAUCUAUGCUCAUUUUAGACAAUUUGAUCAGUAUAAAAUAUUAAAUAAGAAAGUAAAAACCACUUGGACUCUUACCUGUCAGAAAUAACCACUAUAUAACUGGAUUUUGGUGAAUAUCUUUUAAUUGUGUGUGUUUGUGAAUAUGUGUUUGUAAUCCAAAUUUUUUAAAAUUUGAGACUAUAUUCUAGUCAGCUUUUUAUGUCAAUGGAUUUAAGAAUAUGUUACAUCAUUUUAAAUGUAAUGUAUGGAUAUACCACACUUUAUUUAACCAAUACCCUAUUAAUGAAUAUUUAGUAUGUUUUCUUUUCUUUCU